rnacentral:rRNA from 1 species
CAGAAUUAAAAUGCCCAGUUAGCCAUGUCUCCUGCAGGUCGGACUAGUUAAUCCAUCUGAAGUUAAGCAGGUUUGGGCCUGGCCGGUAUUUGGUUGGGAGACCAACUGGGAAAACUGGGUUGAUGUUGG